CCACAGCUUCGGAAGCUUUG
rnacentral:snRNA from 1 species